rnacentral:rRNA from 1 species
AUUGAACGCUGGCGGCAGGCCUAACACAUGCAAGUCGAGCGAGCGGCGGACGGGUGAGUAAUGUCUGGGAAACUGCCUGAUGGAGGGGGAUAACUACUGGAAACGGUAGCUAAUACCGCAUACCAUCAGAUGUGCCCCGAUGGGAUUAGCUAGUAGGUGGGGUAACGGCUCACCUAGGCGACGAUCCCUAGCUGGUCUGCGAGGAUGACCAGCCACAUGGGAACUGAGACACGGUCCAGACUCCGACGGUAGGCAGCAGUGGGGAAUAUUGCACAAGGGGGGCAAGCCGGAGGCAGCCAUGCCGCGUGUGUGAAGAAGGCCUUCGGGUUGUAAAGCACUUUCAGCGGGGAGGCGUUACCCGCAGAAGAAGCACCGGCUAACUCCGUGCCAGCAGCCGCGGUAAUUC